AGCCCCGUAGUGCAGNGGUCAAGCAUNCGAGCCUUUGGAGCUCGNGACCCCGGUUCGAAUCCGGGCGGGGCUA
rnacentral:tRNA from 1 species